rnacentral:miRNA from 1 species
GGAUCUUGUUAAAAUGCAGCUUCUGAUCCAGCAGCUCUGGGAUAGCUUCCAAGAUUCUGCAUUUCUAACAAGCUC